rnacentral:tRNA from 1 species
GGUGGCUCAUUGGUAGAGUUCUUGCCUCGCAUGCAUGAGGCCCUGGGUUCAAUUCCUCAGCACCA